rnacentral:rRNA from 1 species
AUUGAACGCUGGCGGCAGGCCUAACACAUGCAAGUCGAACGGAGUGGCGGACGGGUGAGUAAUGUCUGGGAAACUGCCUGGUAGUGGGGGAUAACGUCCGGAAACGGGCGCUAAUACCGCAUACUAUCAGAUGAGCCUUAGUCGGAUUAGCUAGUUGGUGGGGUAAAGGCCUACCAAGUCUACGAUCCGUAACUGGUCUUAGAGGAUGAUCAGUCACACGGGAACUAAGACACGGUCCAGACGCCUACGGGAGGAAUCGGUGGGAAAUAUUGGACAAUGGGCGAAACCCUGAUCCAGCCAUGCCGCGUGUGUGAAGAAGGUCUUCGGAUUGUAAAGCACUUUAAGUUGGGAGGCGUUACCAACAGAAUAAGCACCGGCUAACUUCGUGCCAGCAGCCGCGGUAAUAC